rnacentral:rRNA from 1 species
GAGUUUGAUCCUGGCUCAGAGUGAACGCUGGCGGCAGGCCUAACACAUGCAAGUCGAGCGGCAGCGGGUCCUUCGGGAUGCCGGCGAGCGGCGGACGGGUGAGUAAGGCAUCGGAAUCUGCCCUGAUGUGGGGGAUAACCUGGGGAAACCCAGGCUAAUACCGCAUACGACCUACGGGUGAAAGCGGGGGACCUUCGGGCCUCGCGCAGCAGGAUGAGCCGAUGUCCGAUUAGCUUGUUGGUGGGGUAAUGGCCCACCAAGGCGACGAUCGGUAGCCGGUCUGAGAGGAUGAUCGGCCACACCGGGACUGAGACACGGCCCGGACUCCUACGGGAGGCAGCAGUGGGGAAUAUUGGACAAUGGGCGCAAGCCUGAUCCAGCCAUGCCGCGUGGGUGAAGAAGGCCUUCGGGUUGUAAAGCCCUUUUGUUGGGAAAGAAAACCUGUCGGUUAAUACCCGGCGGGAAUGACGGUACCCAAAGAAUAA